rnacentral:rRNA from 1 species
UACGUAGGGUGCGAGCGUUAAUCGGAAUUACUGGGCGUAAAGGGUGCGCAGGCGGCUCCGCAUGUCGGGCGUGAAAUCCCCGGGCUUAACCUGGGAAUUGCGUCCGAAACUAUGGAGCUGGAGUGUGGCAGAGGGAGGUGGAAUUCCACGUGUAGCGGUGAAAUGCGUAGAGAUGUGGAGGAACACCGAUGGCGAAGGCAGCCUCCUGGGCCAACACUGACGCUCAUGCACGAAAGCGUGGGGAGCAAAC